UACAGAGGGGGCAAGCGUUAUUCGGAAUUAUUGGGCGUAAAGGGCGCGUAGGCGGCUAUUCAAGUGGCGGGUGAAAUCCCUCGGCUUAACCGAGGAACUGCCUGCCAGACUGGAUGGCUUGAGACCGGGAGAGGUGAGUGGAAUUUCCGGUGUAGCGGUGAAAUGCGUAGAUAUCGGAAGGAACAUCAGUGGCGAAAGCGACUUCCUGGACCAAUACUGACGCUCAUGUGCGAAAGCGUGGGGAGCAAACAGG
rnacentral:rRNA from 1 species